rnacentral:rRNA from 1 species
CCUACGGGUGGCAGCAGUGGGGAAUAUUGGACAAUGGGGGCAACCCUGAUCCAGCCAUGCCGCGUGUGUGAAGAAGGCCCUCGGGUUGUAAAGCACUUUCAGUGAGGAAGAACGCCUGGUGGUUAAUACCCAUCAGGAAAGACAUCACUCACAGAAGAAGCUCCGGCUAACUCCGUGCCAGCAGCCGCGGUAAUACGGAGGGUGCGAGCGUUAAUCGGAAUUACUGGGCGUAAAGCGCGCGUAGGUGGCUUGAUAAGCCGGUUGUGAAAGCCCCGGGCUCAACCUGGGAACGGCAUCCGGAACUGUCAAGCUAGAGUGCAGGAGAGGUAGGUAGAAUUCCCGGUGUAGCGGUGAAAUGCGUAGAGAUCGGGAGGAAUACCAGUGGCGAAGGCGGCCUUCUGGACUGACACUGACACUGAGGUGCGAAAGCGUGGGUAGCAAACAGGAUUAGAUACCCCGGUAGUC